CGUCGAAUCACAUGCUAGCGUCUACAGGUGUUUCGUACUAAUACUCUACUGACUGUUGACUAGUUGCAGCACCUCAAAGCCGAUCACAGGUGUGACAGAGCGGAUUGCAAGGUGCCUGAUGAUAUCAAACUGACCCUAUUAAACAAAGCGGGCGUCUAUCGCCUAUCCUGCAGUUAUAGGAAGUAUUAUGAUGGCUAAAUUAGACAUAAAAUUUAGAGUAACAUCAAGGAGAGAACUUCAAUGGCGUUUUUCUUGUACCAACAUUAAAAUUAACAAAAAUAAAUCUUAAAUUGAUUGUUUC